rnacentral:rRNA from 1 species
UACGUAGGGUGCAAGCGUUAUCCGGAAUCACUGGGCGUAAAGCGUGCGUAGGCGGAAAUUUAAGUGUGAUGUUAAAUCGUGGGGCUCAACCCUGUCGAUGCAUCGCAUACUGGGUUUCUAGAGGACGGCAGAGGCAAGUGGAACUCGUAGUGUAGCAGUGAAAUGCGUAGAUAUUACGAAGAACACCAAUGGCGAAGGCAGCUUGCUGGGCCGCCCCUGACGCUGAGGCACGAAAGCGUGGGGAGCGAACGGG